UACGUAGGGUGCGAGCGUUAAUCGGAAUUACUGGGCGUAAAGCGUGCGCAGGCGGCGCGUUAAGACAGGUGUGAAAGCCCCGAGCUUAACUUGGGAAUUGCGCUUGUGACUGGCGUGCUGGAGUGUGGCAGAGGGAGGUGGAAUUCCACGUGUAGCAGUGAAAUGCGUAGAGAUGUGGAGGAACACCGAUGGCGAAGGCAGCCUCCUGGGUCAAGACUGACGCUCAUGCACGAAAGCGUGGGGAGCAAACAGG
rnacentral:rRNA from 1 species